rnacentral:rRNA from 1 species
UACAGAGGUCUCAAGCGUUGUUCGGAAUCACUGGGCGUAAAGGGUGCGUAGGUGGCGUGGCAAGUCAGAUGUGAAAGCCCAGGGCUCAACCCUGGAACUGCAUCCGAUACUGCCAUGCUAGAGAACUGAAGAGGAGUGUAGAAUUCUCGGUGUAGCAGUGAAAUGCGUAGAUAUCGAGAGGAAUACCAACGGCGAAGGCAGCACUCUGGGCAGUUUCUGACACUGAGGCACGAAGGCUAGGGGAGCAAACGGG